rnacentral:rRNA from 1 species
ACGGAGGAUCCAAGCGUUAUCCGGAAUCAUUGGGUUUAAAGGGUCCGUAGGCGGACAGCUAAGUCAGUGGUGAAAGUCUGUAGCUCAACUAUAGAAUUGCCAUUGAUACUGGUUGUCUUGAAUCAUUAUGAAGUGGUUAGAAUAAGUAGUGUAGCGGUGAAAUGCAUAGAUAUUACUUAGAAUACCAAUUGCGAAGGCAGAUCACUAAUAAUGUAUUGACGCUGAUGGACGAAAGCGUGGGGAGCGAACAGG